GCACAUAAUUUCUAUUUUUUCCAUUUCCUAAGCACCUAGGUAAGUCUUUUUAUGCUCUUUCCAAUACUUUGUAAAAGAAUCUAGUUUUGGACAGGAUUGAAAAUAAUGUUCAUAAGUAUUCUAUUGUAUGCAGGCUUAUUUUUGAAUAUAAAAACCAAAUGCAAUAAACAGUACCUGUCAUUUGACCUCCAUAGUUCUAGAGAAAGGCUAUUUCAGAUUGGGUGACUCUACCUCAGUGGUUGCUAGGUAAUGAGCUUUUGGAAUACAUGCAUUUCCUAUCUCCAAAUCAAUAAUGGUACAACAUUAAUUUAGAACAUGAUCUCCAUGGUCACCAACAAUUACCAUGAGAAUUUUCUUUUCACAAAACAGCAUUUGCACGAAACUUGUCCCUGCCAAUGUAUUCUUGAGUACUUGCUAUAUUUGACAUUGGCAGCUGUACGUACCAUGGCUUGCUCUUUGCUGUUGGAUCUAUUGAUUGAAAUGCCAUUCAUUUUGUGCAGAUAAAAGAAAUAUGGCUUAGCUGGCUUCUGUUUAUUAAGACGUGGCCAAGUAGAAAUUUCAUUUGAUUUUAAGAAGCUGUGAUAUCAUUCUCUUCCCAUCUUUCCUUCUCACAAAAAGUAUUUGAAAUCAGGGAAGAAUUAUAAACCAUUCACCUGCUGUUUGGUUUUUAAAAAAUAUGGCUUUAGUUUCUAGAGUCUUCAACUGACAGCUUUUAUUUCUGCCAUAGAAAUACAUUCAGUAUGAGAGCAAGACAACUGUCUCAUAUAUGUACUUUAAAAGAAGAAAACGCCAGCCCUGAAUGAAGACAAAAGCACUGGAUUAAAAAAAUCCAGUCGAGGACAUCCCUCCCUCCUCAAGUGAGACAGCCGCCAGGGGAAACAAGCAGAGGCCCACAUAGCAGCAAGCUCCUCUCACCCCUUCUCUGAUCCACAUGGGACUGGAACAUGAGUGACAAUUAAACCUGUGAUAAACUGUCAA